rnacentral:snRNA from 1 species
ACCAAGUGUUGGAUUGUUCAC